GCUACUAUACACAUUCACAAGACAUUAGGCCUUUCAUGUAAUAUUUUUCUAGGCAAGAAAACAUUGCUAUAUGACGUAACUCGUAGUAGUAGGUAAAUUCACAAACUGUGUAUGUUGUAUCAAUGACUCUGUUGUAAUCAAACUUUGAAGCUACAAUCAGAUAAAGGAAUAAUAUGAACUUCAGUUAACUGAUGUAAAAUAACAAAAAGAGGCAUGUCUAAAGAACACAAUGGAAGAAUAGAAAAAUGCAUGUAGAAGAUUACACAUGAUCUAAUCAUAUACCUUGCCACCCAAAAUUUUGCCUUUGUCGUAUCAAUGAGUUUGCUAUAAAUGAGGAAGUAGUAAUUUUUGCACGUACUCUAGGUGUUUUGUCAUCGGUUGAACGACAAGCUUCUUCAUUUUUGGAAACUACACGAACAAGACAAAACAUUUGUUCACAGUAAGUUAGUAACCCUAAAGGAUCUACUUACUCGGACAAAUUCAUAAGAACAAACUGCAUAUACAGUAAAACACAACGAGCUCUGAAUCAAAGUAUAACUAUUUGAAAAUCUUUGGAGAAGAUCAAACAAUACAUCAUUGCAUCACUACUCGGGGUCACUAACGGAGGCGCCAAUUCCUUCGAGCUGGGGAAAGGGGAAUUGAAGGUGCUCGGCAGAACUGGAAGGGGGAGAAAUGAAAACCUCAAACACUACCAUUUGAAGAGCAGAGGAUAUAUAUUUAGGCACUCACAGAAAUAAUCACCGGAGGUCCUGUACAGAUACAAGUAGGUGGUGGCAUCGCCGUCUUAGCUCGGUUGUCCAAGCAACACAGAAUGUCCUGAUCACCACACAGUUGAAAUUGAAAGUGUUUGCAACUCUGCAAAUUAUAUACAUAUCCAACGAUUCAGUUGGGAGUUUAUUCUGCACCAUUUGUGAAAACACACACUCACAAGCAAUUCGUUGAGUAGACACCGUGAAAUAAAAUUAUAUUGUGAAAAAUACUAUUUAUCAAACAGGUGAAACAAACUAAUCAGGUGCAUCUCCGUAAGCAAAGAAAAAGGCAGACCAAAAUCUAUAGGAUAUGAGACAUAUAUAUCUCUUUGUUUAUAUAUAGACACACACACACACACACGUCAUAAUACCUUGACUUUCUUCCAGAGACUAAACAUUGGUUUGUGGACUAAAAACUCAGAGAAAAAAUUACCAGAAUGGGUAAAUGAGUAAUGGAGCAAACAUGCACAUUACUGAGAGAGAACACAUGUCCAGUGCAUACAGUUAUAAACAACCAUACUUAUAUAAUUUCCAUGUGGGAGAAGUAUAUUAGGUUAUGAAAGCAAGCGCCGUCGUUCGUGAUUUUAACGCACACGACUGAUGUCAUGUCACUAUGGUGCCAACCGGCUUGCCCAUGACACAGCUAGAUUCUGUCACCUCAAUCUUUGUAAUCUCAUCAUCUUAGGACAUGCCACAUUUUGCAAUGUUGUGAGUAGAUGACAGAUAAGAUGUAGCAGUGUAUAAUGGAAUUAGGGGUGGAUCAGCAACCUGACAUGCGCGGGGGAGGUACUCUGCCCGCCACUUCCCAUCCCUAGAGGGGGCGUGCAGGGUCGGCUACCAUCACCUUGACGCUCGGCCCACGAGACUACCAUAGAUGUAUUCUCACCUGCGUCGAUGCCACGUGCAUGACGCCACGACCGCGGCUGCCACAGCCUGGCCUCUCCUACAAGUAAAAAAGUAAAUCACACCAAAAUCAACACAAAAGGCACACCAAAUCAAGUUGAGAAGUGAGAGUGCAAGGGAUUCAUCGUACCUGCUCCGAGUAGGUCGAGACGCAAUAGUAAAUCCCACCGGCUGCCUUCAUGUCCGUUCAUGAUUGGAACAGGCAUGUUUCAGCCAGCUCGAGGUGCACUUACCAAGGUUGCAAAUUACAUGAUUUACGUAUAUAUAUUGUGAGAAGAAAACCCAAAAAAACGAUUGCAUGUAUUUUUAGCGAAGUGUGCUUCUGAACCACAGCUUGGAAUUGUGUAAUCACGACAUGACAUCAUGAUUCCCCAAAACAAUUCAGACCAUAGUUAGCACAGUAUGGACACCUAAAUCUUGAACAUUCUAAAAUAAUUACAAUAUCCUCAUUUUUCUCUAUUUAUACCAGAAAUUAAGAAGAACCGCAAGCAAUCAUCAGGAAAUACCAAAUCUAGGGGUUACAGAAAGUCAAAGUGUUCCCAUCAAACUGUGGAGAACACUAAUGUUCUAUCUUGUUUUUAAUCAAAACUAAUGUUCUACCCGGGAAGAAAAAUGACAGAUGCAACUCACGCAGAUGACCAGGCCUAGGUAAUUUAUAGCAGAUGUCCACCCGUGAGUCCUUUUUCUGCGGAUUAAAAGAAACACUUGCAAGUUGUUAAACCAAAAACAGUGAAUAUAGCAUGCAAGUAAUAAUCAGAAUAUUAUUCAGCUUCCAUUUCCAUGAAUCAAUCAGAGAUAAAGUUGAUCUUUAUUUGACAUUCAAUCAAACAGUCCCAAUCAAAUUUAAUUUGGGGCAGGGUAGAAAGAUGCAAGUCAUAAUAGGGAGAAAAGCUAUCAAGAAUGCCAUGCUGCUUGUUGCGACAAAUUUACCAUGUUACACCUUUUCGUGGAAGGGUCAAAAGAUCUGGAUGCGCUUAUCUGAAAUUCUUAAAUGAUCAGUUCAAACAAAUUAUAGAGCCAAAGCAAUUCAAAAUUUAGCAUUAUGAAGGAAAGGCUCGUGAUUAGUAUGCAAAUACGAAAGGCACAAGAUUACUACGAAGUAGGAUGACUGUCUGCCAAAGGCAAAAAUAACUCAGUUUUAUGCUUUUCUAAACUAAAGCAGAAACGACCGUACAAUUGCAGGAGAAAAAUUGAUGUAUGCUUUUUCUAACCUCAGCAGUAACGAACAGACAAUUGCGGCAAACAGGCUUGGGCAUCACAAUCGAGAACAUCUAUCACCAGCAUACCGCACCGAUUGCGACACCUCAUGUUGUCAAUCUACACUCUGAAAUAUGUCUACAUACAUCCGUAUGUCAUAGUUCAUUUGAAAUGUCAAGAAAGACAAAUAUUUGGAAACGGAUGGAGUAAUAGAUAACUUAUGUGCCCCAUAAAAGGAUACCAAACGCCGUGUGAGAGAUAAGAAUUCAGGGUGACAUCUGUCUAUACAAUUAGUUUUCAAGGCAAACUUUUGCACCAAGAUUGUGACAUAGUCACAUUCCAUCGAAUGAACAUGUGAUGCUGACCGAAGACUUGAUCAACUGUUUAAAUAUGCCUAUGAUAAAAAAUAGUUUAUUCAAAGCACAUUUAUCUAAGAAUGUAGUACGAUUUGUUUAAAGUCAAAAAUGAGAGAUUUGGUUACAUCCUAAAUUAUCAUAUAUAUUGAGGAAUAAAUUUCAUCAACUCAUGAUCUAAAAUGAAAGGACUUCUUAUUAGUGGCAUAAAGUCGUGAGAAAGCCAUGUUAUAUGCACUCUAUUAUGUGUUGGAGCACAUGUGUGCUCGUUAUCCCUCCCAUCAAGUUGCCCCGGGAUUUACAGCCCAACACGCAUAGGCCACUAAUAAUCUAUGUAUGCUUCUUUUGAACAGUGAAUAUGGCCCACAUCUGAAGUCCAUGAAACAUGACUAUGUGAGGCACUUUCACACCGGAUCGAAUGUCAGACCACCAUAUGGGUCGUCCAAGACGAGAUUCUGGACUAACAGAGUCAUUUUCGAGUCGAUUUAUUAUGUCUGACUCAUGCAUGUGGCUUCCCUUCCCCUACACAACUAAAGCUCGUCCCUCACUGGCUAAAGCGAACUCCACCUAGAUCCACCAUUCCCCCGCAGUCAAUUCUUCCUCAUCAGCCAUUCCCGAAGACAUCUUGCCGCUCAUUCCUGGCUUCGAUUGCGGAGAGCAGAUCAUAACAUAGAUUGCCCAUAGUGUGGCAAAUGUCGGCAAUCUGCCCCCGGUCACCUGCAACCACAAGAGUCCCUUUAGUAUGAAUCAGAUUCACACCAUAACCAUUUGCAACAAUCUAGUCCUCUAAUACAAGCCCAUCAUAAUUCUCAAUAGUCAUUAAAAUAUGGAAUCAAAACAGCUAACAAUCUAUCAUGUAUCCAAAAUUGACACCUAUGCUUAUCAUACAUGCCGGAGAAAAAUAGCUACAAUGUUGCUGUCAAGAUAACAUUUUGGAAGCAUUUUCUCUCAAAUAAGUAUUAAUAGAUCAGACACUGACAAAAUGAUUAUGGUAGUGUAAACCAAACGAAAUGACAUGGCCCACACACCAAUCUAUUCAGGAGUGUUACAUUAAUCCAACAAUUUGUUCAGCGCAUGGUAGCUAUAUAAAUAAUCCAGAUAUCAUUCGUGUUGACAGAAAUUAGCAAUGCUCCCAAGUACAUACAAAAUUGUCGAGAGAGAAUUUCCUAGCAUGCUGAGUUUCCAAAGACUGGACUUCUUAAUAAUGACACACCUUCGUGUCCAUGCAGGAGCUUUAGGGUCGAUCAGGCCAUAGAUUUCUUCGAUGUUGGCGACGAAUCUUCCGUUCAAGCUUCCGUUGCCCCUCCACCACACAUAUUUGCGCGUCUCCACUCACUCCCCUCAUAGGCGGCCGCUGCUCGACAUGUUGAGCCACUCAUGGCUGUCUCCACUCACUCCCCUCAUAGGAAUAGUGAACCGUAAAAAUAUUUUCAGAGUAUUAGGCUUGUAUCAUGAAUUAUGUUCGCUUCUAUCAAUGCUUCAAGACGCAAAGCUUUUUGUGUUUGCUAAGAAAACUAAGCAAAUAUGAAGGUAAAAGGAAAUCAUCAAUAUAAUUCCGCAAAAACUACUACAUGGAACGGACAUGAAAUGUUGCGGAAAUUGCUGAAUCUUGCUUUUCUGGAACAACGAUAUAGAGUGUUCACUACUGACUUGCACAUACUUUGCAAUCAGAAAAAAGCUUCAUCAAUUAUGUAGACGCGGUGAAAGGGAAUACAACAUACAAAAUCUAGAUACAGAAUUCAAGAUAAUAAAGCUAGAUGGAGCUAACACGACACAAUAUGCUUCAUCGUUUAGCGGGUACUCCCAUGCAUAUACUAAAUCAUAUAGACAUACACUUCAACCAUCAGAACUAUGCCAGAACUGGAACUGGUUUGUUCUUACAUGUCAUUUCCAGUGAGAAAAGGGGGAUGCUAUACAUUCCAAGUCGCAAAAAUUGUCUUAAAAUUAUAAGAAGCAAACUAAAAAUUAUAAAUAAUCAGAAGAAGUGCUCCCGCUGAGCGAAAACACAUUGCAUCUGAACAAUGCAAAGCAACUGCAGCACAUAAGCUAGCACCUUAUUCAUGCUUUAAAGGUGUACAGUUUGACCACCUACUUGUAGCUACUAUACACAUUCACAAGACAUUAGGCCUUUCAUGUAAUAUUUUUCUAGGCAAGAAAACAUUGCUAUAUGACGUAACUCGUAGUAGUAGGUAAAUUCACAAACUGUGUAUGUUGUAUCAAUGACUCUGCUGUAAUCAAACUUUGAAGCUACAAUCAGAUAAAGGAAUAAUAUGAACUUCAGUUAACUGAUGUAAAAUAACAAAAAGAGGCAUGUCUAAAGAACACAAUGGAAGAAUAGAAAAAUGCAUGUAGAAGAUUACACAUGAUCUAAUCAUAUACCUUGCCACCCAAAAUUUUGCCUUUGUCGUAUCAAUGAGUUUGCUGUAAAUGAGGAAGUAGUAAUUUUUGCACGUACUCUAGGUGUUUUGUCAUCGGUUGAACGACAAGCUUCUUCAUUUUUGGAAACUACACGAACAAGACAAAACAUUUGUUCACAGUAAGUUAGUAACCCUAAAGGAUCUACUUACUCGGAGAAAUUCAUAAGAACAAACUGCAUAUACAGUAAAACACAACGAGCUCUGAAUCAAAGUAUAACUAUUUGAAAAUCUUUGGAGAAGAUCAAACAAUACAUCAUUGCAUCACUACUCGGGGUCACUAACGGAGGCGCCAAUUCCUUCGAGCUGGGGAAAGGGGAAUUGAAGGUGCUCGGCAGAACUGGAAGGGGGAGAAAUGAAAACCUCAAACACUACCAUUUGAAGAGCAGAGGAUAUAUAUUUAGGCACUCACAGAAAUAAUCAUCGGAGGUCCUGUACAGAUACAAGUAGGUGGUGGCAUCGCCGUCUUAGCUCGGUUGUCCAAGCAACACAGAAUGUCCUGAUCACCACACAGUUGAAAUUGAAAGUGUUUGCAACUCUGCAAAUUAUAUACAUAUCCAACGAUUUAGUUGGGAGUUUAUUCUGCACCAUUUGUGAAAACACACACUCACAAG
rnacentral:lncRNA from 1 species